UUUCACGUCACGCGAGAAUAAACGAUAUCCAAAGCCAACGAAAUAGCGGUUACUUACAGGAGACCACGUGGCAAGCUGUCCGACUCAAGUUCAGUGCGUUCCGAUCGAUUUCCAGUCAACAGUAGCAAUGUUUACAUCACCACGUGUCCAAGAGGCGUUAUCAUAAGCACUACCGAACUUCUACAAGAGCGCGAAACCGACUGAGUCAGCGACAUCCGUGCGUGCCCUUUUAUAUUCAGCGGUCAACUCGUGACAUCCACAUUCGAGUCAACAGACAGACAGCCAACCGAUUGUGUCGACUCAACACCGAAUUGUCAAGAUAGGAAACUGUUGCCCGGGAAAAUGAUAACAACCCAGUGUAGUCGAAGUAAAGAGAACUUCGAAGGAGGAGUCGUGUCCGCCUCGUGUCGAAGCCUGAACGCUGAAUGAGCGCCGGCAGGAUAAAGAAGGGGCGAGACGUUAUCGCGAACGUUGGAGAACAACCACACUGAAAAGGUGACGGGACCACGCGAGGCAUCGACUAUCUUUCAGGCCCCACCACCGUCAUUCUUCAAUUCGUCGUGUAAGUACAAAGGCGGUAGGGUUCGCCGUGGAUCGAAGAAACGUGACCGAGAAAUUGGUAUGUCUCCUGGUGACAAUUUGCGUGGAUCACGUCACCGGCAAUAGAUACCGAUCGACGAUUUCCGCGGAGACUUUUGAUUGUGUCAAUGCGAUUGCCGCGUCAUAUGACUCUGUAACUAUAAACGAUGGAAAAAGCAUGACAUCGGAUAAUCGAUGUUAAUAGGAGCCCGGUGACCGAACAGAGUUCGCAGCAUGAUUUACAUGGUUGCAGUGAUAAUCGUACGCCUACAGAUUGGUUAUCAUGUGAUUAGCAGCUAGGUAGAGUUACCUUGUAUCAAUUACAUUCUAAACUAUAACCCCCAUAUUAGUCAUAUAUACUACAGACGAGGUAAUUGUAAUUAUUUUUGCUGAAAAAUGCAAACAAAUUUUAUGCACAAUUAAGUGGAACGUUUGAAUUCAUUUGGAAUUGAUAUUUUCUCUUUGACAGGGCAACAUGUCUGCAUUGAGCCGAUAACUGAUGCUUUCGUUUGAUCUCGAUCGAUUUCAUGAUCGAUUUCGUGCAUGAUAAUUUUCAAUACUCGAAAAUUUUGCUAUAGCAACAACUGGUGUUGGUCAGUGAUUUAAUAUUUCUUUCGCUGAACAAAUAUAAGCUACUCAACAAAAUGAGAGAAACUCUAAUUUAUGACCGAAAAAUUAUUCAAUUUCGACCUCCUGCAACCUCGUGCAAACACAACUUACAAUGUUCUGCUUGUACUCACUACGUAGAUCAAUUUUUACGAUUAAAUUUGUACAUAUUUUA